UACGAGAGGCCCAGACGUUAUUCGGAUUUACUGGGCUUAAAGAGUUCGUAGGCGGCAUGAAAAGCAGGGUGUGAAAGCCCUCGGCUCAACCGAGGAAUUGCGCUCUGAACUGUCGUGCUAGAGGAAUCUAGAGGUGAGCGGAACUGAUGGUGGAGCGGUGAAAUGCGUUGAUAUCAUCAGGAACACCGGAGGCGAAGGCGGCUCACUGGGGGUCUUCUGACGCUGAGGAACGAAAGCCAGGGGAGCGAACGGG
rnacentral:rRNA from 1 species